rnacentral:rRNA from 1 species
GACGGAGGAUGCAAGCGUUAUCCGGAAUUAUUGGGCGUAAAGCGUCCGUAGGUGGCUAGUCAAGUCUGCGGUCAAAGACUGGGGCUUAACCCUGGAAAGGCAGUGGAAACUGAAGUGCUAGAGUGCAGUAGGGGUAGAGGGAAUUCCCGGUGUAGCGGUGAAAUGCGUAGAGAUCGGGAAGAACAUCGGUGGCGAAAGCGCUCUGCUGGACUGCAACUGACACUCAGGGACGAAAGCUAGGGGAGCGAAUGGG